AACGAACGCUGGCGGCAGGCCUAACACAUGCAAGUCGAACGCAUCCUUCGGGGUGAGUGGCAGACGGGUGAGUAACGCGUGGGAACGUGCCCUUCAGUUCGGGAUAACCCAGGGAAACUUGGGCUACUACCGGAUACGUGCGAGAGCAGAAAGAUUUAUCGCUGAAGGAUCGGCCCGCGUCUGAUUAGCUAGUUGGUGGGGUAAUGGCCCACCAAGGCGACGAUCAGUAGCUGGUCUGAGAGGAUGAUCAGCCACAUUGGGACUGAGACACGGCCCAAACUCCUACGGGAGGCAGCAGUGGGGAAUAUUGGACAAUGGGCGCAAGCCUGAUCCAGCCAUGCCGCGUGAGUGAUGAAGGCCUUAGGGUUGUAAAGCUCUUUCGUCCGGGACGAUAAUGACGGUACCGGAAGAAGAAGCCCCGGCUAACUUCGUGCCAGCAGCCGCAGUAA
rnacentral:rRNA from 1 species